AUUGAACGCUGGCGGCAGGCUUAACACAUGCAAGUCGAGCGCGCGGCGGACGGGUGAGAAAUGUCUGGGAAACUGCCUGAUGGAGGGGGAUAACUACUGGAAACGGUAGCUAAUACCGCAUACCAUCAGAUGUGCCCAUAUGGGAUGAGCUAGUAGGGGGGGUAAUGGUUCAUCUAGGCGACGAUCCCUAGCGGGUCUGAGAGGAUGACCAGCCACACUGGAACUGAGACACGGUCCAGACUCCUACGGGAGGCAGCAGUGGGGAAUAUUGCACAAUGGGCGCAAGCCUGAUGCAGCCAUGCCGCGUGUGUGAAGAAGGCCUUCGGGUUGUAAAGUACUUUCAGCGAGGAGGCGUUACUCGCAGAAGAAGCACCGGCUAACUCCGUGCCAGCAGCCGCGGUAAUUC
rnacentral:rRNA from 1 species